rnacentral:rRNA from 1 species
CCCUUAGAUGUUCUGGGCUGCACGCGUGCUACACUGAUAUUGCCAAUAUGUCAUUCUUAUCCGAAAUGGAUUGGGUAAUCAAGUAAUGAAAUUUCAUGCUUGGAAUCGGUAAUUGCAAUUUUAUCGUGAACGAGGAAUUCCUAGUAAGCACUAGUCAUCAGCUAAUGUUGAUUAUGUCCCUGCCCUUUGUACACACCGCCCGUCGCACCUACCGAUUGAAUGGUUCGGUGAAGAUCUCGGACUUCGAUAUUUAUUCUUUAUUGAGUUUAUAUUGUGGGAAGUUAUCUAAACCUCAUCAUUUAGAGGAAGGUGAAGUCGUAACA